rnacentral:rRNA from 1 species
CCUACGGGAGGCAGCAGUGAGGAAUAUUGGUCAAUGGGCGUAAGCCUGAACCAGCCAAGUCGCGUGAGGGAUGAAGGUUCUAUGGAUCGUAAACCUCUUUUAUAAGGGAAUAAAGUGCGGGACGUGUCCCUUUUUGUAUGUACCUUAUGAAUAAGGAUCGGCUAACUCCGUGCCAGCAGCCGCGGUAAUACGGAGGAUCCGAGCGUUAUCCGGAUUUAUUGGGUUUAAAGGGUGCGUAGGCGGCCUUGUAAGUCAGCGGUGAAAGUCUGUGGCUCAACCAUAGAAUUGCCGUUGAAACUGGGAGGCUUGAGUAUGUUUGAGGCAGGCGGAAUGCGUGGUGUAGCGGUGAAAUGCUUAGAUAUCACGCAGAACCCCGAUUGCGAAGGCAGCCUGCCAAGCCAUGACUGACGCUGAGGCACGAAAGCGUGGGGAUCAAACAGGAUUAGAUACCCCUGUAGUC